UAGGGAAUCUUCGGCAAUGGACGAAAGUCUGACCGAGCAACGCCGCGUGAGUGAAGAAGGUUUUCGGAUCGUAAAACUCUGUUGUUAGAGAAGAACAAGGACGUUAGUAACUGAACGUCCCCUGACGGUAUCUAACCAGAAAGCCACGGCUAACUACGUGCCCGCCGCCGCGGUAAUACGUAGGUGGCAAGCGUUGUCCGGAUUUAUUGGGCGUAAAGCGAGCGCAGGCGGUUUCUUAAGUCUGAUGUGAAAGCCCCCGGCUCAACCGGGGAGGGUCAUUGGAAACUGGGAGACUUGAGUGCAGAAGAGGAGAGUGGAAUUCCAUGUGUAGCGGUGAAAUGCGUAGCUAUAUGGAGGAACACCAGUGGCGAAGGCGGCUCUCUGGUCUGUAACUGACGAUGAGGCUCGAAAGCGUGGGGAGCAAACAGG
rnacentral:rRNA from 1 species